UUCGCCCUUAGAGUUUGAUCAUGGCUCAGGAUGAACGCUGGCGGCGUGCCUAACACAUGCAAGUCGAGCGAGAAGGUGAUGACUGAUUCUUCGGAUGAAGGAUUCGCUGGAGAGCGGCGGACGGGUGAGUAACGCGUGGGUAAUCUGCCCUGUGGAGGGGGAUAACAUUCUGAAAAGAAUGCUAAUACCGCAUAAGCAUACAAGAUCGCAUGAUCAAGUGUGAAAAACUCCGGUGCCACAGGAUGAGCCCGCGUAAGAUUAGCUAGUUGGUAAGGUAACGGCUUACCAAGGCGACGAUCUUUAGCCGACCUGAGAGGGUGAUCGGCCACAUUGGGACUGAGAUACGGCCCAAACUCCUACGGGAGGCAGCAGUGGGGGAUAUUGCACAAUGGAGGAAACUCUGAUGCAGCAACGCCGCGUGAAGGAAGACGGUUUUCGGAUUGUAAACUUCUAUCAGCAGGGAAGAAAAUGACGGUACCUGACUAAGAAGCCCCGGCUAACUACGUGCCAGCAGCCGCGGUAAUACGUAGGGGGCAAGCGUUAUCCGGAUUUACUGGGUGUAAAGGGUACGUAGGCGGCCCAUUAAGUCA
rnacentral:rRNA from 1 species